UACGGAGGGGACUAGCGUUGUUCGGAAUUACUGGGCGUAAAGCGCACGUAGGCGGAUUUGUAAGUCAGGGGUGAAAUCCCGGGGCUCAACCUCGGAACUGCCUUUGAUACUGCAAAUCUCGAGUCCGGAAGAGGUGAGUGGAAUUCCUAGUGUAGAGGUGAAAUUCGUAGAUAUUAGGAAGAACACCAGUGGCGAAGGCGACUCACUGGACACAUAUUGACGCUGAGGUGCGAAAGCGUGGGGAGCAAACAGG
rnacentral:rRNA from 1 species